GGCAUUUGGGUCAGUGGUCCCAGCUGUGACACAUCCCAGCCUACUCCUAGCUACAACAUUGGUGUACUAAUAACACUUUGCUGGUCACAAACCCAAAACAUCUUACCAGGCACUAUCAAGAAAAUUACCUCUGUCCCAUCCAAAACAGUAUACAUAGUUGAAAGUUUUCAGUGUAAAUGUGUGUGGGAGCUUUUUAUUUUAAAAAUAAAUUCCCGCAAGUAAGUUGCUUUUGGUUGGGUGGGUUGUUUAGGUUUUGGGGUUUUGUUGUUUUGGGUUUUUUGUUUUGUUAUGGUUUUUUUGUUUGUUUUGGUUUUUUUUGUUUGGUUGCUUUUUUUGAUAAAUGGAAGGAAUAUAAAGGUACCAAUGAGUGCAAGCAGUUGAAUCAUGUCCAGGGACUUGGAAUUUGGAGAACAAAAUAGAAAAUGUGUUCUGAAUUCAACUGGUCCGUCCUCAAGCCAAACAGAAUUCAGGUCCCAAAAAGACAGAAGGAAGAAAAAUGGAGUAAAAAAUGGCUUUAGACUGAAUUGAAAAAAAAUACCCAUACAUGAAGGAGGCCUGGGAAGAGAGUUUGAGAAAGUAUUUAAUCAGUAGAGGAAGUGUCUUUUGAGGUUAAGAGCAUAGUGAGGAACUGGAAACUGACUAAUCAAGCUGAGAUAGAUUUACUGAUUAAAGCCAAAAAAAGCAAAAUACUCUUCAGCCACAUAAAUAAAGAGAUAAUAAGGAAGGAAGCUAGAUGUUUAUUCAGUAAAAUGAAAUAGAAGUCAAAGGUAAUCUGGUCAUGACCCCAAGCUAGAGAAAACUGCCCUUGUCUGUGUGAGGGGUAGCCAUUCUUUCCAAGGGAAAGGAGGAAGGCAUUCAGCAAUGAGUUGCAAAAACUAAAUGUGUUUGUGAUGCUUCAUGAAUUCUUUUUGCCAUUUCUUAAGAGCACUUUGUGCAAACUAUUUAGUAACCACAGAACCAAUCAAAUGUAUUAUCUUGAAUGCUAAAUUAAUGGAACUUAGUUUGAGUUUCUACUCCUUUGUUUAUAAUGCAUCCCCUAGAUUGUGCGACAAGUUUGGGCUGUUUGUGCAGUGUUGCAACAGAGGGACAAAUUCAAGUCAUUGAUGCUUCUCUUCCUGGAAUAUUAUUACAAAAGGGAUUGUAUCAGACUCAAGCACGGAUGGGGAGUAUGAUCAAUUUAAAGGAUUAUGAGGUGUUAUCAGGGUAAUCAGGAAUUAAUAGAGCUUCUCAAAAUAACUUCUUUUGCGAGAUUAAAGAGAUAGGAAAGAAGCAUCUUACAUAUGAGAAUGUGCUGUCAGGCUGUACCCUGAACUGCCCUCAGAAAAUUCUUGGAAAAAAUUGUUACUUUGUUUUCCUGUUAGGUCACAUCCAUUCCAGUUGUUGAAUCAAAACAAUUGUUCUGAGACUCAUACAGACUACUUUUGUUUUCUUCUGUAUGCAUUGAAAGAUAUAAAAGCCAUCUUUCAGUGGGAUAUAUAUAUUUUUCCAUAUAUAUUUCUUUUCCAUUUAGUCAAACUUAUAAUCUAGAGAGAAUUUCUGAGGAGAGCUAGCAAAGUGUUUCAGUGCAAAUAUAUUUGGCCCCUUAUGAGAAUUUCAAAGCAACAUAAUAGUAGUGAUGACUGAAAUUUGGGUGCUGUAAUUAAAAGGAAUGCUAUAAAAAUCUAAAUCUGUGUAUUCUGUCAUUUUUAAAAUAUUUUUUGAAUUCCUUAACUUUAGACACAUGGUUUUCUGGGCCAGUGAUUAAAAGCAGCCCUUCUCAAGACAUAUAUUCCCUUCUGAAGUACUAAUCUUUUCUGUUUGGUGAUGGAAGUGAUUGCUGCUAUACGCUUAACUUAUACUUCUUAUGUAAAGCUGGAGAGUCCUUUUGCCAAGGUCUUCUCUCCUCUUUGUUUCUCCACAGCAAUGUUGGAGUUCAGUUCUCUAGAUCUUACUGUGGGCAGUGUGCCAGGUUUAUAGGGCUAGGGAAGAUUUUUUUAUCUUUGUCAUAUGCAUGGCCAACUAACCCUAACCUCAAUAUGAACUUCAUAUUGAGUGAAUCUCUUGUAACUAAGCCUGGGGCUUGUAGAUACUAAUGCUGACCAAAAGAGGCAAAUAAUUUACUUUCUAUACUUUGACCACUUUACCAAAAGGGGGGAGGGGAGGACACAGUAACAGAAUGAUGAAUAGAAGACAGCUUUUAUGACUGGAAAAUUUAUUACCCAAAUAAAUUUUUUCUGGAUAAAUCAGCCUUGAAUAUAUUUCCGUGUAUGAUAGUUUAAAACAUUGUAUCCUUUCUUAAACUUCAUUCUCUUCCUGUUACUUCAGGGGAAGUUACAAAUAAGGAAAAUUUGCAUAAACUUCACUGGAAAGCAAUCUUCUAUCCAUCAGCUGAAGCUGAAGACACUUUGGAAUAAUGGCUUUCUAGCCCUUGUCUAAUCUCUAAGACAUUUGCACCUCUUUCCUGUGUCCAAACGUCGUCAGCCUCAACAAUUUUCCUUAUUUUAUAAGAAAGUAAACUUUGUUUGAUGCCAUUGUUGUUCCCUGCUGGGUGUGCUGGGUAGUUCACUGUUUGGCUGAAUAUAUGUCUUAAACACUGGUAAACUGGCUUACCAUCAGUGAAUUUGUAACUUGUUAUAAAGAUAUUUCAUCAUGAAAUUAAAUUGUUAAGUUGAAAAUUGAGAAUACAUACCUUAUAAUCCAAAAUUCAUUUUCAAGUUAUACUUAUAUGGUCUAAAAGAUAGGAUUAAAUUUCUCAAAAGCUUGGCAGACAAUUUAAGACACUUAGUAGCUUCUAGGUGGUAUGAUCAUAUUUUGCAUAGAUUCACAUUUCAAGUAGAGCUGAAGUCUAGCCAGUACUGUGGAGUUAGGCAUGAACACUGUUGUGUGUAAACACUGGUGAAUCAGUAAAGGUGCUGUGUUAAUUUAAUAGCUAUUGUUGUUGAUAUUUUAAUAAAUAAUAGCUAUUGUUGUUGAUAUUUUAAUAAAAGGAACAGGGAAGCUAAACUGAGGCACAUACAGUUAGAACAAGUUUAAUAUCUGGAACAGACUAGUGAAGUCUGUCAAAAGUUUGGAGACAAAGAGAAGGGGGAAGAAAACAAAGCAAAAAAAACCCUAAAAAAACCCUUGCUGCACUGUGGAAGUGUUGAGGAUGAAUCACAUUAACAGAUCAGUGAAAACAUUUACUUGCUACUCCAAGGCAGUGUUUCAUUACAGAUUCUUCUCAGUGGUUCCUAAUGCUGGUGGUUAAUUGCAAGUACUGAAUUUCCUCUGCAGCCUGUAGAUCAUGAUGCAUGAAUUUACUUGCUGCUUGCUUGGAUUUGUGAAAUUGUUGUAGAUCCUCCCUGUUACCUGUAAGACAGUUAGUGGGGAGGAGUUGCCUGAACAGCAAUACUCUACCCUCAGUAUGUCUGCAAUUAUGCAAAAGAAUCAAAUUAUUUGAUGUGCUGGUUAAUAAUAAUGGAAUAUAAAUUGACAGACAGUCAGAAAAGACAAAUAUAUAGGAUGUGAAUCAAUGUGUAUGUGUUGGGAGAGAUCUGGCCUGUCCUAUGAACACCUCUAUUGCAGUAGAGCUCUGCGUAUGUGCUCCUCUCCUGCCAAGUACUGAUGGUGCAACCCUCAAGGACUGAGUCAGUGUGCCAGCAGGAUCUGAAAGCAGCACAGUCCCACAGACUCUGCCUUGCUGCUCCCAAGCUCACGAGGGCUUGUGCAGUCCAGUGUAUUGGGAAAGGAGUGCCAGGAAAUGAAGGUGUUAGAAUAAUGUGCUACGGUGGUGGAUGUUGGGAGGGUUAACCAGUUUUCUGAAUAUAAGUCUGCUGAUUGUUGAGCUAUUGGAUAAGGCUUAUCUUGUGAGUUAAAUGCCUUUAAUGUUACUUCUUGCUAAAAGUCUAAUGUACUUGACAGCCAACUGCAGACUUUAAAGUAAUGAUAAAGUACCUGAUGUAUUUGCUAGCUAAUAAUAAAUGCUUCUUUUAUAUAUCUGCUCUCUUAAUUAAAGUAAUGUAAUAAUCAUAUUUUAAUUUUUAGAAAGAUUAUGCUUGACAAAAUGUAGUUUGUCUUUACAGGAUUAUGUUGGUGAAACUCCUAUUCAUAAAGCAGCACGGUCUGGUAGUAUGGAUUCCAUAAGUGCCCUUGUGGCUCAUGGUGCGCAAAUAGACUGAAGCAUAUUCUGUGCACAGUAUGUCCUACAGCCAUAAAAAUGGUUGCUCCACUAACUAUGGUAUUCAUGGACCCUUGAAGAGGGGGAAGCAGGUGGUCACAAUGUCCUCAUAUGAGUGAAAAGGUUUGCUGUGUAACUGACUUUUUAAUGUGGAUAGUACCUUUUAAAGUAUCCAUAAUUACUGCUGGAUUUUCACUAAAAGGCAUAUUUAUGUAUGGUUAAUUGUGUAUUAUUUAUCAUGGUGACAGACAAGUGUCCACAGAUCUUUAUGACAGAGGAAAAGCCUUCUUGGUGCCAUGUUUUGUUUUGCUCUUUUGCACUGUUAGUAAAUGCUGUGUUUUAAUGUAGUUAUAUAGAUUGUAUCACAGCAUAUAUAAAAAUACAAAAUUCAGCUGUAAACACAGGACACUGUUGAACCAAAAACAAGCAGAUGCAAGUGUUGAUUAUCCUGCUUCAUGCCCAUUUGCAUGUGGUGCACUUGUGCAUUGUGUCCACUUAUCUCUUAAUAAAAAUUCUUCUGCAGCUGUCAUUUAAGCAGUUGUGUAUUCCUUAGUGUCUUGAUUUUGAGCUUAGAGGGAAGUUUCAAACACUGUGUUAUCCUGGAGUAGAGAGAGGUGUAACUUGUGGAAUGGGCUGUGGCUUGGUAUCCACCCAUCCAAUUGAACACAAAUUCUUGCUUGCAUAAAGAUUUUACUGAUCACAACAUUUGAAUAGUAUUAUAGAAAAGCUUUUUAUUUGCCUGGCAGAAAUCUUCAGGAUUUGGGUAAAUUUGGGUUGUAUACCAUGAUGGCAUGUUAUGAUUCCCUAAAAAGAUAAUUUCCUUUCUAGUUUAAUAUACUCUGGUCUCAAGGUUUGAGUAGAAGCAGUGACAUGCUGAGAUAAAUAAACCAGUACAUCUGUUUCCACCAGAUGACAGAUUCAUACUGUGAUGUUGAUCUGGUUUAGGCAGACACUUCAGCCACUUUCUUGUUAAAGCUGUCUGGCAUUCAUCUGAGUGUGUAAAUUCAAUGCCAGAAAUGUCCUAUCACUGAUACUAAGUUUUUCAGCAAGACCUUUAUUCUCAUUCUUUGACAGGGAUUUACUUAAUUUUAUUUAUUCUUUUCAAACUCAUAUGUCCCAAACUGCAUUGUGUUGUUUAAAAAGGCAAUAUUAAUAUAAUUUUUCUUCACAACUGCUAUCCAUCUUCCAUUACAGAAAUCGGUCUGCUGUGAUUUUUUAGUGCUGCUGGAUUAGUCCUUUGUGAAAUUCUUGUAUCUUUGUUUAACGUCACCACUCUUGUGAUAUCUCAGCUUUUAUUCUUCUCAUUUGUACUUUUGAGAUUUCUUGACUUCCUGAAAAUCAGCCACCUCUAGUGAAGAGACAGUGAUGUGUCGUUUUCAUGACGGCACACAAGUCGGCCAUUCCUUUCUGAUGCAAACUCUCAAUUCCUUUUCAGUCUGGAGGGGAAGCUUACAUGGCCUGUUUUCUUGAAGGGUCUCAGGGUUCAGAAAUCUCCUGUCUUAGUUAAUGGAUCGAUUUCUUAAAAUCUUAGGAGCUAUUUGCAGGUUCUUACUGUGAGCUUGUUUUUCUUGCCUAGCUAACUUAACUACCAAGCUUUUAAUACUGAGCUGCAGUCCAUUUCUGGGGUUAACAUACUGGUGAAGUGCCACAACUAUGUCACCUCCUUACUUCAGAAGUUGUAUUACAGCAUCGAUUCAAUGUAGAAGAAGCAACAUUCUACUUUCUUACAGUCAUUAAAUUAACCUCAUCUUCAGAGUAAUGCUUCUGGAUCUUACUGAUCAUUUGGAUUUUGGUGCUUUUUCAACUGAGAGGUUCUUAUCUGUUAACUAGUAUAUUAGUGCUUGUAUAAUCUGUUUGGUACUUUCCAAACUCAGACCACUUUAUACACAUUCUUUUUACGAACCUGAUUGCCUCCAAAUACUAGUUAAACUGCUGGAUUAAUUGCUGUUGUUGCAUUAUUAAACAUUGCUGUAUAAUUAAGGAAGAAUACAUGGCAAUUCUUGUUUAAUUGUAUGUAACAAGCAUUUUAAGGGCCAUCACUGUGGUAUUCUUGUAAGUGACCAUUUUUCAGUGUAGAGGAUACACGUGUUGGAAUUUAUUCUGCCUUUCCCAUUUUAUAUAAAUUGUUGUGGGAGGGCAAAUUCAAAUGGUUCAUUUCAACGGUGAAACACUAAUUCUCCUUUAAAAGAACUGCAAGUAAAGCUUGGUAAUUUCUUCCAUGUUUGGUUUCCUGUUUGGUUGCUAUGGUUGUAGCAGUACUUGAGGUGGUUUGUAGGAGCUUGUGAUUAUGAAGUAGGGCAGUAAUUUGGAUUUAGUCUGAAGAAAAGAUUUGGAAAUACUACAGCAGAAUGUAUAUGCAUGGGUGACUGACAAAAAAUGAGAGAGGUGCAGUCUUAGACUAAACCAGUCUGGAAAAAUGUAGUUUUCAGAGUUACUGACACUUCUAAUAAUUGCAGGAAGCUGAGGGAAACCACUGAAUUCCUGUUCCAUUCGAAUGCAGAUUAUUCUUAGUGGGGGUGGAAUAACAACAGUGAUUACUGACAUCAGCUGGAAAAUAGCACAGAGUGUGAGAGGCUGUGCUUUUUAUGAAUAAAGUAAAAUCCAUCAUUAAAGCAAUGAUACUCAGGACCUUUCUGGAACAUAAAGAGGAAAUUCACUAGAUGCAUGUGAGCUUGAUAGUUUAGCUUAUUCAUUAGUGAGAAGCCUUAUAGCACUGGUUUCUUGACUUCACUCCAAGAGAGCUGAGUAAAGAAUAUGGAAGUGUUAUCAAGACUUUUAUAUGCAGAUUGCUCAGAUUUCUGGCAGGAAUGUUUGGGGUUUUUUUUGUUGGGACUGAGCUACCUUCAUGUAAGAUACUGUGGAUACUGUGCUGAUGUUCACAUAAAUGUGUGCAGUUUCCCUUGAGAUAGAUUUUUUUUUUCCUGCAAGAUAAGCUAUUCUGUUGCUAUUCUGGCUACAGAAACCCAGGUACAGUUAAGUCAAGUGGAGAAACCAAAGUAUCAUCAAGAGGAGCUUUGCCAGAGUUAAAUACAGUGAAAGAAGCAAUUAUAUCCCAGACACAGUAGUCUUACUAGUUCUGAUGGUUAGUCCAGAUGUCAGUGAUGGUCAUGUGUAGGGAUGCUAUGCUUGAUCUGGCAAUAGUUUUUUACUAGAUAUGUGAUGAGAGGAUUGUUUAUUGCAACGUCUGCUCUAGCCUCUCUAGCCUGCCGUGUUGAUUUGGGUUUUGUUUGCUGAUCUGGUUUAUGUGCUUUCAGUAAAGUUGUUCAUAGACCAACUAGUACCUAGUAGCCUCUGGACAAAAAAAAACCCCAGGAGGUAGUUGUGGUGUGGCCCAGAACAUGUUCAGGUUGGUCAGAAAAGUUUUCUUACGUGUGUCAUGCACUACUGAGUACAAGAUGUAUCUCAUGACAUGGAGGCUUAACAAACCAUGGAAGAGCUUUGGUAAUCAUAACUUAGGGAAAAUAUUACUCUUCAGCUUCAUUCUGUUUUGCUUGAUCGGGCUUAUAUAUGAUGGAUAAAUUUUCUUAUAAAGGGAGAAAAAUCUACGUUUCAAAAGCUUUUUUUUGUGAAGCUCAUUUAAACUGGUUUUAUGUGGUUCCUUAAUCCAGAAGAUUUUAUGUCUGCCUGAGCAAACACACCAAGUUAUUUUUGACACCAAAAACACCCCAACAAGACUGUGUAGUUUGAUAGUGUCCCUAUUAUGGGAAAAUAAUGAAACCAUAUACUACCUACAGUCCUUUCAUUCUUGAUUUUUUGCCCUGCUUUUGGCACAAAACUACCUUAACAUUAAUUUACCUCUUCAUUUUUAUUUCCAAACUUCCACUGUCCAUGCUGUUUGUACUGAACAGCUUGAACUUUAAGGUUUGGUACAUUUGAGAGAAGCUUUCUUCCUUCAUUUCUCUAAUUCUAAGCUACCUUUGGGUUUCAUUUGCUAUGUUGAGGAGAAAUAAUGUCAUUUUAUUUGCUACUAGUCAUCUUGGUGGGUAUCUGUGUUCCAAGGUUGUUUUAUCUUUUCAAGUUAGAGUUUUCUCUGAACCUGUUCUCCGUAGUUUUCCAUUACACUUUCUUCUUUGUUAGCAACUUUAUUUGCAAUUCUUGCUCUGUUUCUAGAAACAUGAAGUUAACAGCAAUGAUAGUUCUCAUUGUCAUGAGGUGGGCUAAGUAACUCUUACUCUCUCCUUGUGUUUAAAGUGGCUGCAGCACUAUAAAGAUGCUCAUUUGGAAUUAAAUUUUGCUAGUGAUCUAGGAAAUACUUUCAUUUUAGUAGGAAAGGUCUUUUUGGUCAUGCUGUAUUGCAAUCAGACUGUUUCAAAAAUUACCAUAGUAUUACCUACCUUCCCUUUGUGAAUUAUUGUUAUUAGGAAUCACUUCUUAAGUAAUGAAAAAUGAAUUUUAAAAUAUUGUUGCUGGAACCAGGCCAAGUCAAGCCUGUAUUAAUAAGGGGAAGGUUUACUUGGUCAUGUGAAUAUUUUGUACAAAAGGUACUGAAAAUGAAGUGCACUGCUUGAGGUCUUUAGUAAAGCAUAUGAAUGGGGAAUACAGAUACAACAAAAAAUCCUGAUGGUGAUGUUUGUGGUAACUGCAGUGUUGUCUACCAUGGUUAAUGAAUUCUUUCUUCUGCCAAUGUUUGCUCAGUCAGGAGUUAAAGUAUCUAGGAGCUAAUUAUAGCUGCAUAAUUCAUAGUGAACUUUGAUUUUCCUGUGGAGAAAGUGGCUUCACAAAGCAGAGUCCUGUUCAGUAUAUUCCUCUUGUUGUGAUUUUGGAUGAUGUUCACAGGAACUCUACCACUGGUUUUAGAAGUGUAAAAUAAUUUCAGCUGCUAGAUGCUUUGUUGUGAAAUAAAAACGUGGCACCAACUUGUGCUUUUGUAGAUGCCCAGUGUGUAAUUCUAGCAUGAAUUUGUAUAGCUGCCCCAGCAGUGACACACAUCUGUUUAGUUAAGAUUAUUUUUCUCUUGGUAUCUGGAAAAAAAAGUUUGAAACAAUUUUAUAACUUCUGUAUUUGGACACCAAAGGGUUAAAACACUUAAAGUUUAGUAUUUUAAAAUAAUUUUGCUUUAGAAAUUUUACACUAGUAUACUACUGUUUAUAUAGGAAACAAUUUUUUUCACUGUGGGCGUUUUAGUGUUCUGAUCUUUUUUUUUCUCUUUCUUCUUUUGUUUUGUUUUAAUCCUUGUAUCUGCUAAUUUUUGUAUAUAGGAAUAGCUACUAAUUCUUUUGAGAUACAGCCUACUAAAUUUAAAGUAAUUGAAGCCAUGAGUUGACCGGUAACUUUAAUCCAUUCUAUAUAAAUUGCAGUGAAGAACUGAACAAUUGGUUUCAGGAUGGAAGUUAUAAUGCUUUUCAAGGCAUAAAAGGCUUAGUAUCUUGUUGUUAAGGUGGUCACAUGAUAAUGGCUUACAUAUUGAAUAAUGUGCUACAGCACUUUAUGUAUGUUAAUGUACUUUUAAUCUUAAUGUUGCCUGCAAAUAUGUGAUCCCUUAUGAUAUAAGUUUCCUGUUUAUGCACCAUUGCCCGUUUAAAUCAAACAGAAGAUUCUGAAACUGUAAAAACUACACAUGUCAAUGUUUUACAGCUACGUAAUUCGAAUUGACUUGAUUUUUUCAAGUAAUCCUAGAAAGGGGGAGCAUUCCAUAUAGAAACUGCUGAAACUGCCACAGGUGCUUCUCCGAAAACCUUACAGUUGUGGCAUUGAAUGUUCAGUAUCGCUUCCUUUCUGCACACAAGGCAUACUGUUGAGCUUGAGAAAUGCCAGUGGCCUGACAGCAGCAGACCUUGCACAUACCCAGGGCUUCCAAGAAUGUGCCCAGUUUCUCUUGAACCUCCAGAACUGUCACCUGAAUCGUUUCUAUAGCAAUGGCACCUUAAAUGGGGUUCAUCAGAAUGCAGGUCCCAAUCCAUUCAGUGGUGGGACAAGUCGAAAGAGAUCCUUUGAAGAUACGGAGUCUGCUGGAGUGAAGAAGGCUAGAACAGAAGCCUACAGCUUUGAUGGCUUAAUACCAAUGCUGAAUGGAGGAGCUGAGGACGAUGCUGACAAUAUGCACAUUGAUAGAGAGUUUGCUGUUGUAUCAGAUAUGAAUAGCAGUAGCUCCAUAUUGAAUGCACUGACAAAUGGAUGUGCCAUCAAUGGACAUUUGGAUUUCACCACCGCACAGCAGCUCAGUGGGAUGGAUGCCAGGCGUGAGGAGUGCUUAGCAUUAACACCUAACGGAGUAAUGCCUGGAGUAACUUCUCCCAGCAGGCAUCGGAUUCACACCAGUAACGGCACCGAGGAGCCCGACAAAGCCAUGAGCAAUUCCACCGAAAUGUGCGGAUCUCUGCACCUGAACGGGAGCCCGAGCAGCUGUGUUUCUAACCGGCCCUCGUGGGUGGAAGACCCUGGAGACACUUUGCACUAUGGACACUACCAUGGUUUUGGGGAUACUGCUGAAAGCAUCCCUGAACUCAGUAGUGUUGUUGAGCAUUCCAAUUCUGUCAAGGUCGAACAGAGAUAUGACAAUACUGUUCUAGGCAC